AGCUCAGUGGUUAGAGCACCUGGUUAACACCUAGGAGGUCGCUGGUUCAAUCCCAGC
rnacentral:tRNA from 1 species